rnacentral:rRNA from 1 species
UGUUAGGGCACGACACCGGAGAGGGAGCCUGAGAACGGCUACCACAUCCAAGGAAGGCAGCAGGCGCGCAAAUUACCCAAUCCCGACACGGGGAGGUAGUGACAAUAAAUAACAAUACAGGGUUCUUUUGGAUCUUGUAAUUGGAAUGAGUACAAUUUAAAUCUCUUAACGAGGAACAAUUGGAGGGCAAGUCUGGUGCCAGCAGCCGCGGUAAUUCCAGCUCCAAUAGCGUAUAUUAAAGUUGUUGCAGUUAAAAAGCUCGUAGUUGAAUUUCGGGAUCAAUGUUUCGGUCAUGCCGUUGGUAUGUACUGAUAUUAUUGGUUUCUCACCUUCUAAAGAACCGUAAUGCCAUUAAUUUGGUGUCACGGGGAAUUAGGACUGUUACCUUGAAAAAAUUAGAGUGUUUAAAGCAGGCUCACGCUUGAAUACAUUAGCAUGGAAUAAUGAAAUAGGACAUCCGAUUCUAUUUUGUUGGUUUCUAGGAUCGAUGUAAUGAUUAAUAGGGAUAGUUGGGGGCAUUAGUAUUCAAUUGUCAGAGGUGAAAUUCUUGGAUUUAUUGAAGACUAACUACUGCGAAAGCAUUUGCCAAGGAUGUUUUCAUUAUCAAGAACGAAAGUUAGGGGAUCGAAGACGAUCAAAACCGUCGUAUUCCUAACCCUAAACUUUGCCGACUAGGGAUCGGAUGAUGCUAAUUUUUAAUGACUAUUCUGCUCUUACCUUAAACCAACGCUCCGGCUCUUUACUUACCUUUUUUUUUUGAUCUCCCUCUCCUUACUCUUUUCUCUUUU